rnacentral:rRNA from 1 species
UACGUAGGUGACAAGCGUUGUCCGGAUUUACUGGGCGUAAAGAGCGCGCAGGCGGUCGUUCAAGUCGAGUGUGAAAGCCCCCGGCUCAACUGGGGAGGGUCAUUCGAUACUGAUCGACUCGAAGGCAGGAGAGGGUAGUGGAAUUCCCGGUGUAGUGGUGAAAUGCGUAGAUAUCGGGAAGAACACCCGUGGCGAAGGCGGUUCUCUGGGACGGUACUGACGCUGAGGCGCGAAAGCCAGGGGAGCAAACGGG